rnacentral:rRNA from 1 species
GAACUUAGCUUAGUGGCGGACGGGUGAGUAACGCGUGAGUAACCUGCCUUUCAGAGGGGGAUAACGUUCUGAAAAGAACGCUAAUACCGCAUAAUAUAUUGGUGUCGCAUGGCACCGGUAUCAAAGGAGCAAUCCGCUGAAAGAUGGACUCGCGUCCGAUUAGCCAGUUGGCGGGGUAAAGGCCCACCAAAGCGACGAUCGGUAGCCGGGUUGAGAGACUGAACGGCCACAUUGGGACUGAGACACGGCCCAGACUCCUACGGGAGGCAGCAGUGGGGGAUAUUGCACAAUGGAGGAAACUCUGAUGCAGCAAUGCCGCGUGAGGGAAGACGGUCUUCGGGUUGUAAACCUCUGUCCUUGGUGAAGAUAAUGACGGUAGCCAAGGAGGAAGCUCCGGCUAACUACGUGCCAGCAGCCGCGGUAAUACGUAGGGAGCAAGCGUUGUCCGGAUUUACUGGGUGUAAAGGGUGCGUAGGCGGCUCUUUAAGUCGGGCGUGAAAGCUGUGGGCUUAACCCACAAAUUGCGUUCGAAACUGGAGGGCUUGAGUGAAGUAGAGGUAGGCGGAAUUCCCGGUGUAGCGGUGAAAUGCGUAGAGAUCGGGAGGAACACCAGUGGCGAAGGCGGCCUACUGGGCUUUAACUGACGCUGAGGCACGAAAGCAUGGGUAGCAAACAGGAUUAGAUANCCUNNNAGUCCAUGCCGUAAACGAUGAUUACUNNNGUGGGGGUCUGACCCCUUNCGUG